CAAGUGUACGUAUGUAACAGGUUACGUUAAUAUGUCAAUUUUUGACAAAGUUCAUUUACAUUAUGCGUCAACACUUUAAUUAUAGACAUUAAAAAUGUUUAACUUUACAUAUGUGUAACUUCUGAACCGCUGGAUUUCUACAACUAUGACUUGCAUUUUCAAAUUUUACGCAUUGAAAAUUAUUAAAUAGCAACAAAAAAAGUCAAUAAUUUAAUUUUCAUUAAAAUAAAGUUUAACCUGUUUUCUUUUUUUAACUGUAUACAUAGUUAUGUAGUUGGUUAAUUUUUGUUCUCUUUGUAAGAAUUGGAAGAAUUGGAGGACGUGGAAUGAUGCUUUGGCUUCGCUUUUGCAUCGGAGAUGGCACGUUAAAUUCCCCUAUACUCUAUAUCUGUCCAACGAAACAGGGCAGUAAAUGCAAAUAAAACUUGAUUGUUGCGGUUGCAACUAUUGGCUGCUGACUAGUGACAUUCGAGGGUUACACUUUUGUUUAUCAUUUUAACUGCAUAACUUUUUAAUUACAGAGUGUUAUAAUUAAUAAUUGAUAGGUGACAAUUAUCAAAUUAUUACGAAACGAAAUUCAUGGAAAGUUUUGAUAGAGCAUAUAAAAUAUAAUUAGCCAAUCAAUUUUAAGUACACUUAAUAUAUUUAGGUUAUGUAUUAUAUUCAAGCAAAGUACGAUCAAGUGUGGAUGAUUAUAGUGCGAUAGGUCGUGAUUGUAAUCUGAAGAUAAUAUAAAUCAGGUUUAGUUAAAUACAUAUAAGAGAUAUAGCUGGAUAUUUUCUGUUUUGCAUAAACGUAAACAGAAAGAUUAUAUAAAAAUGGAUUAUCAGUUAUGGGGGAUUACUGCUGCCUUAAUUGGUCUUCAUGUUGUGUGGUAUAAAAUACAAUGUAGAAUACCAGAAGAAGAUCGACGUCCACAUCCCUUUGUAAGAGUCUAUCAGCAGAUUAUGAAGAAAGAUAGUACAUAAUUAGAGAUAAUAUACUUGUAUAAUGUGUAAUAAAUGUUUAGUAAACAUAAUUUAUAAAGUAAUAUUUAUUUAGUUAGCAUAAGAAAUAGGAUGAUAAUGUUUAAUAAAAUUAAGAAAAGUUAAACUUA